UAGCUGAAGGCCUGGUAAACUACUCCGCCGCCAAGAGGCCCUAGCAAGGCAGCAUUUCCACCUCGCCGCCGCCGUCAUUGCCGCCGCGGCGCGGGCGUUUGCUCCGCGACGAGGACUCGAUGAGGGGAAAUGUCUCCAGCGUCAUCUCCGGCGGCGACGAGGCUUUCCAAGUGAUCAACGAUCCUGCUAGUGUGAGUUCUCCCUAUGUAUUACUCUAUAUUGGCAUUUAUCCUUUUAAGUGCCAUCUCCUUCAGACUUCAGUGAGCAAGUAGCAUUUUGGUCUUCCUAGCAAGUAGCAACAUAUCAUCACAAAAUCAGAUCUUAUGAUCUUGUGGUGUUUUUAAUUUCUUCUCCUAAUUUGUUUAGGAGUCAUAAAUGCACCAAAGAGAGGAUGUUUGUUUCUUUAUUUAUGACGGAAGUGACUGAAUUAACGGAAUAAAACACCAUUGUAAUAGUCUGGCACUCUGCUGCUGCUAGUACUGCAUUUGUGUUACUUAAACUGGUGUCUUCACUUGUGAA